rnacentral:misc_RNA from 1 species
ACGAAUUGUAGUGGGGGUUGAUGCUGGCAGCCUGGCUGCAGGUGCUCGCUCCUGACACAUAUCCAAACACCUGUGCACUGUUGAGGGUUUUCCGAGUCUAGCUUGGAUUUCCCUUUCUCCCUUCACAUACACUGCUAAUAAUAUUGAACGUGCUUGUGCCGUAAGGCAUUAACAAAAAUA